GGUGGAGAGGUCUUCGAUGGCAAUAGAGGAUGCUGGUCUACCUGCUGGAUGAUAGAAGACUGCAGAAUGCUCCCUGGAUCCGGUACUCAUCCAGAGCUGUUAACAGAUUGCUCCAGAGGGUGGCAUUGCAGCAGCAUUUUCUAAUUCACAAAUCACCGGAAACUGCAGUGGCUACUUGGAGCAUUUUGGAGGCGAAGGAAGAAAGAGAGGCUGGUCUGGUCGAGGCUGGAAGAGUGGAAGUGAACACAGUAAUCAGAAAUCAAGGUAAUUGGAAGAGGUCUGAAGCUCAUUAGAGGAUUGGGCAGAAGCUUUGGUCAAGUAGUGCACUGAAACUAAGAAGAAGCAGGAAAUACCACUGGCAGGCCUGCGGCGGGGCAAACGCGGCCCCAGCAGGAGUUUGCUUGUGCCAGUCAUCUCCUGCGUGCCUGUACCAGGAGCAGAAGCUAGACUAGCUGACUCAAACAGUGUAAAGUUUUUUAUAAGAAUUAAAAAACCUAAAAUCAAACAACAUUGGCCCUGAUUUUGGA